rnacentral:rRNA from 1 species
GGCGAACGGGUGAGUAACGCGUGGGAAACCUGCCCUUGAGCGGGGGAUAACAUCCCUAACGGGGUGCUAAUACCGCAUGACGCGGCGAGUCGCAUGGCUCGCCGGUAAAGGUGGCCUCUUCAUGAAAGCUGCCGCUUAAGGAUGGUCCCGCGUCCCAUUAGCUUGUUGGUGGGGUAAUGGCCUACCAAGGCGACGAUGGGUAGCCGGCCUGAGAGGGUGUCCGGCCACACUGGGACUGAGAUACGGCCCAGACUCCUACGGGAGGCAGCAGUCGAGAAGCUUCGGCAAUGGGCGAAAGCCUGACCGAGCGACGCCGCGUGAGCGAUGAAGGCCCUAGUGGUUGUAAAGCUCUGUCAGUAGGGAAUAAAGCUGGAUAGCGAAUAACUAUCUGGUCUGAAGGUACCUACAGAGGAAGCUCCGGCUAACUCCGUGCCAGCAGCCGCGG